rnacentral:tRNA from 1 species
AAAGGGAGACCUAAUUCAGGUAAAAGACGAAAAAAAAGUAGUCGCUACCAAGAAUCAAUCCCAAAAGGUCGGAGCGAGGCGAAAUUGGCUUUCAAACUAGGUUCUGGGUUCAAACAAGACCUGAAUCAGGAACAAGGGCUAUUAGCUCAGGUGGUUAGAGCGCACCCCUGAUAAGGGUGAGGUCCCUGGUUCGAGUCCAGGAUGGCCCACCUGCACAGGUGGCAAAAACAAGAGAAGCGAGGAAUCAGCACCUUAUCUUACUUAUAUAGUAAGAGAGAAUGCUGGCUCUGAGUAAAGAGUCCAGAGGAACCUUGAAAACUGCAUAGAGCUAGGUGAAAAAGCCAAAAAGGAAGACCGCAAG